rnacentral:rRNA from 1 species
GACGAACGCUAGCGGCGUGCCUAACACAUGCAAGUCGAACGGGGUGAUUCCUUCGGGGAUCACUUAGUGGCGAACGGGUGAGUAACGCGUGAGAAACCUGCCUUUCAGUGGGGGACAACAGUCGGAAACGACUGCUAAUACCGCAUAAUGUUAUUUGAGGGCAUCCUCGAAUAACCAAAGCUUUAUGUGCUGAAAGAUGGUCUCGCGUCUGAUUAGCUAGUUGGUGAGGUAACGGCUCACCAAGGCGACGAUCAGUAGCCGGUCUGAGAGGAUGAACGGCAACAUUGGGACUGAGAUACGGCCCAGACUCCUACGGGAGGCAGCAGUGGGGAAUAUUGGGCAAUGGGGGAAACCCUGACCCAGCAACGCCGCGUGAAGGAAGAAGGCCUUCGGGUUGUAAACUUCUUUUACCAGGGACGAAGAACGUGACGGUACCUGGAGAAAAAGCAACGGCUAACUACGUGCCAGCCGCCGCCGUAAAAC